rnacentral:rRNA from 1 species
GGUUAAGCGACUAAGCGUACACGGUGGAUGCCCUGGCAGUCAGAGGCGAUGAAGGACGUGCUAAUCUGCGAAAAGCGUCGGUAAGGUGAUAUGAACCGUUAUAACCGGCGAUGUCCGAAUGGGGAAACCCAGUGCAAUUCGUUGCACUAUCGUUAACUGAAUACAUAGGUUAACGAGGCGAACCGGGGGAACUGAAACAUCUAAGUACCCCGAGGAAAAGAAAUCAACCGAGAUUCCCCCAGUAGCGGCGAGCGAACGGGGAGCAGCCCAGAGUCUGAAUCAGCUUGUGUGUUAGUGGAACGGUCUGGAAAGUCCGACGGUACAGGGUGAUAGUCCCGUACACCAAAAUGCACAGGCUGUGAACUCGAAGAGUAGGGCGGGACACGUGGUAUCCUGUCUGAAUAUGGGGGGACCAUCCUCCAAGGCUAAAUACUCCUGACUGACCGAUAGUGAACCAGUACCGUGAGGGAAAGGCGAAAAGAACCCCGGCGAGGGGAGUGAAAAAGAACCUGAAACCGUGUACGUACAAGCAGUGGGAGCACCUUUAUGGUGUGACUGCGUACCUUUUGUAUAAUGGGUCAGCGACUUAUAUUCUGUAGCAAGGUUAACCGUAUAGGGGAGCCGCAGGGAAACCGAGUCUUAACUGGGCGUUAAGUUGCAGGGUAUAGACCCGAAACCCGGUGAUCUAGCCAUGGGCAGGUUGAAGGUUGGGUAACACUAACUGGAGGACCGAACCGACUAAUGUUGAAAAAUUAGCGGAUGACUUGUGGCUGGGGGUGAAAGGCCAAUCAAACCGGGAGAUAGCUGGUUCUCCCCGAAAGCUAUUUAGGUAGCGCCUCGUGAAUUCAUCUUCGGGGGUAGAGCACUGUUUCGGCUAGGGGGUCAUCCCGACUUACCAACCCGAUGCAAACUACGAAUACCGAAGAAUGUUAUCACGGGAGACACACGGCGGGUGCUAACGUCCGUCGUGAAGAGGGAAACAACCCAGACCGCCAGCUAAGGUCCCAAAGUCAUGGUUAAGUGGGAAACGAUGUGGGAAGGCACAGACAGCCAGGAUGUUGGCUUAGAAGCAGCCAUCAUUUAAAGAAAGCGUAAUAGCUCACUGGUCGAGUCGGCCUGCGCGGAAGAUGUAACGGGGCUAAACCAUGCACCGAAGCUGCGGCAGCGACACUAUGUGUUGUUGGGUAGGGGAGCGUUCUGUAAGCCUGCGAAGGUGUGCUGUGAGGCAUGCUGGAGGUAUCAGAAGUGCGAAUGCUGACAUAAGUAACGAUAAAGCGGGUGAAAAGCCCGCUCGCCGGAAGACCAAGGGUUCCUGUCCAACGUUAAUCGGGGCAGGGUGAGUCGACCCCUAAGGCGAGGCCGAAAGGCGUAGUCGAUGGGAAACAGGUUAAUAUUCCUGUACUUGGUGUUACUGCAGAAGGGGGGACGGAGAAGGCUAUGUUAGCCGGGCGACGGUUGUCCCGGUUUAAGCAUGUAGGCUGGUUGUCCAGGCAAAUCCGGAUAAUCAAGGCUGAGGUGUGAUGACGAGGCACUACGGUGCUGAAGUAACAAAUGCCCUGCUUCCAGGAAAAGCCUCUAAGCAUCAGGUAACAUCAAAUCGUACCCCAAACCGACACAGGUGGUCAGGUAGAGAAUACCAAGGCGCUUGAGAGAACUCGGGUGAAGGAACUAGGCAAAAUGGUGCCGUAACUUCGGGAGAAGGCACGCUGGUGUGUAGGUGAAGCCCCUGCGGGUGGAGCUGAGACCAGUCGAAGAUACCAGCUGGCUGCAACUGUUUAUUAAAAACACAGCACUGUGCAAACACGAAAGUGGACGUAUACGGUGUGACGCCUGCCCGGUGCCGGAAGGUUAAUUGAUGGGGUUAUCCGUAAGGAGAAGCUCUUGAUCGAAGCCCCGGUAAACGGCGGCCGUAACUAUAACGGUCCUAAGGUAGCGAAAUUCCUUGUCGGGUAAGUUCCGACCUGCACGAAUGGCGUAAUGAUGGCCAGGCUGUCUCCACCCGAGACUCAGUGAAAUUGAACUCGCUGUGAAGAUGCAGUGUACCCGCGGCAAGACGGAAAGACCCCGUGAACCUUUACUAUAGCUUGACACUGAACAUUGAGCCUUGAUGUGUAGGAUAGGUGGGAGGCUUUGAAGCGUGGACGCCAGUCUGCGUGGAGCCAACCUUGAAAUACCACCCUUUAAUGUUUGAUGUUCUAACGUUGGCCCCUUACCGGGGUUGCGGACAGUGUCUGGUGGGUAGUUUGACUGGGGCGGUCUCCUCCCAAAGCGUAACGGAGGAGCACGAAGGUUAGCUAAUCCUGGUCGGACAUCAGGAGGUUAGUGCAAUGGCAUAAGCUAGCUUGACUGCGAGCGUGACGGCGCGAGCAGGUGCGAAAGCAGGUCAUAGUGAUCCGGUGGUUCUGAAUGGAAGGGCCAUCGCUCAACGGAUAAAAGGUACUCCGGGGAUAACAGGCUGAUACCGCCCAAGAGUUCAUAUCGACGGCGGUGUUUGGCACCUCGAUGUCGGCUCAUCACAUCCUGGGGCUGAAGUAGGUCCCAAGGGUAUGGCUGUUCGCCAUUUAAAGUGGUACGCGAGCUGGGUUUAGAACGUCGUGAGACAGUUCGGUCCCUAUCUGCCGUGGGCGCUGGAGAAUUGAGGGGGGCUGCUCCUAGUACGAGAGGACCGGAGUGGACGCAUCACUGGUGUUCGGGUUGUCAUGCCAAUGGCACUGCCCGGUAGCUAAAUGCGGAAGAGAUAAGUGCUGAAAGCAUCUAAGCACGAAACUUGCCCCGAGAUGAGUUCUCCCUGAGACUAUAAGUCUCCUGAAGGAACGUUAAAGACGAUGACGUUGAUAGGCCGGGUGUGUAAGCGCAGCGAUGCGUUGAGCUAACCGGUACUAAUGAACCGUGAGGCUUAACCUU